CACGUAGGCGGCCAUUCAAGUCAGAGGUGAAAGCCCGGGGCUCAACCCUGGAACUGCCUUUGAAACUAGAUGGCUUGAAUCUUGGAGAGGCGAGUGGAAUUCCGAGUGUAGAGGUGAAAUUCGUAGAUAUUCGGAAGAACACCAGUGGCGAAGGCGACUCGCUAGACAAGUAUUGACGCUGAGGUGCGAAAGCGUGGGGAGCAAACA
rnacentral:rRNA from 1 species